UACGGAGGGUGCAAGCGUUAUUCGGAAUUACUGGGCGUAAAGCGUGCGUAGGCGGUUAUUUAAGUCGGGUGUGAAAGCCCCGGGCUCAACCUGGGAAUUGCAUUCGAUACUGGAUAGCUAGAGUUCGGCAGAGGGAAGCGGAAUUUCCGGUGUAGCGGUGAAAUGCGUAGAUAUCGGAAGGAACAUCAGUGGCGAAAGCGGCUUCCUGGACCAGAACUGACGAUCAGGCACGAAAGCGUGGGGAGCAAACAGG
rnacentral:rRNA from 1 species